rnacentral:ribozyme from 2 species
CUCAAAACUCCGCCUGUAGCUUCUCUAGAGUUACUGCCGGUCCCAAGUCCGGCUAAAGGAGGAAGGUUAG